rnacentral:lncRNA from 1 species
CUGACCUGACUCCCAGCAGUGAGAGUGCGCCUCUCACUCCACCCCGGAUGUGCCACUUCUGCAGCUGCGCAUCCGGGCCCUCCAGGCUGGGGCUGCCGGUUCUGCUCUGACCUGGCCCAAGUGGAGCCUGUCAAGGAGAAGGGCAGCUGGACCGAUGCUUCCCUCCCUUGGGGUCGCUGGCUCCCUGGGGACUGUGGCUCAGGGAGCCUCAGAGGAAAAUCACAGGACCCAGGAGGGGAGGGCACCUCCGCACCACUCUCCCCAGGCUUGUCCCUGUUCUUGGAUGGAGCUGCAGAGCAAACGGACCGACCGUGUGAGCAGAGAGCUCUGGAAACCAGGCGAAGGCUCCUUGACUCGCACCGAGCACAGAGGAGGCGCCCAGCCAGCGCUCUUUGGAUCAAGGGUUCCUCCGUGAGCAGCAGGUGCCACGCUCGCCAGCAGACUGGGCAGCAGCAAACAUCCCCACGGCCCUGGAUCUCGCCCCCUAAACCUCUCUCGUGCCCCUUCCCUGCCACCCAGGGUCUCAGCUGCCAUGACCCUCAGAGGAGGCUGAGCCCCUGCUCAGUGGCUGGGGAGAAAGCUGGGUCCGGGGGCUGCAGGACAGGAGGAGGGGGCGGGCCUCUGAGCUGGCAGACAAAGGGCAUGUGUUCUCAUCCAGUGCACUUCCUGGGUUUCCAUGGCAGGAAGCUUGGCACCUGCCAAGGUGACACCGACACCCGGGCUGGUGCGGGAGAUACUUGGCCGGGACGCUCCU